CAUGCAAGUCGAACGGAGUAGCAAUACUUAGUGGCGGACGGGUGAGUAACGCGUAAGAAUCUAGCUUCAGGUUCGGGACAACAGUUGGAAACGACUGCUAAUACCGGAUGUGCCCAAGGGUGAAAGGCUUGCUGCCUGAAGAAGAGCUUGCGUCCGAUUAGCUAGUUGGUAAGGUAAAAGCUUACCAAGGCAUCGAUCGGUAGCUGGUCUGAGAGGAUGACCAGCCACACUGGGACUGAGACAAGGCCCAGACUCCUACGGGAGGCAGCAGUGGGGAAUUUUCCGCAAUGGGCGAAAGCCUGACGGAGCAAUACCGCGUGAGGGAAGAAGGCUCUUGGGUUGUAAACCUCUUUUCUCAGGGAAUNNNNNNNUGAAGGUACCUGAGGAAUAAGCAUCGGCUAACUCCGUGCCAGCAGCCGCGGUAAUACGGAGGAUGCAAGCGUUAUCCGGAAUGAUUGGGCGUAAAGCGUCCGCAGGUGGAACAACAAGUCUAGUGUCAAAGACCGGGGCUCAACCCCGGGCCGGCGGUAGAAACUGCUGAACUAGAGGGUCGUAGGGGUAGAGGGAAUUCCCAGUGUAGCGGUGAAAUGCGUAGAGAUUGGGAAGAACAUCGGUGGCGAAGGCGCUCUACUGGACGGCACCUGACACUCAGGGACGAAAGCUAGGGGAGCGAAUGGGAUUAGAUACCCCAGUAGUCCUAGCCGUAAACGAUGGAUACUAGGUGUGGCUUGUAACAAAACGAGCCGUGCCGUAGCUAACGCGUUAAGUAUCCCGCCUGGGGAGUACGCUCGCAAGGGUGAAACUCAAAGGAAUUGACGGGGGCCCGCACAAGCGGUGGAGUAUGUGGUUUAAUUCGAUGCAACGCGAAGAACCUUACCAGGACUUGACAUGUCGCGAAUUCCUCUGAAAGGAGGAAGUGCCUUCGGGAGCGCGAACACAGGUGGUGCAUGGCUGUCGUCAGCUCGUGUCGUGAGAUGUUGGGUUAAGUCCCGCAACGAGCGCAACCCUCGUGUUUAGUUGCCAAUAUUAAGUUAGGCACUCUAGACAGACUGCCGGUGACAAACCGGAGGAAGGUGGGGAUGACGUCAAGUCAGCAUGCCCCUUACGUCCUGGGCUACACACGUACUACAAUGGUAGGGACAAAGGGAAGCGAAGCUGCGAAGUGAAGCAAAUCCCAUCAAACCCUGCCUCAGUUCAGAUCGCAGGCUGCAACUCGCCUGCGUGAAGGAGGAAUCGCUAGUAAUCGCAGGUCAGCAUACUGCGGUGAAUCCGUUCCCGGGCCUUGUACACACCGCCCGUCACACCAUGGAAGCUGGUCAUGCCCGAAGUCGUUACCCUAACCAUUCGUGGAGGGGGAU
rnacentral:rRNA from 1 species